CAAAACUAGACUUUAAUCGUGUACAAGUCCUUCAUCGACAAGAAAUAAGCCAAAUUGCAAGGUUUUGGGAGGACUACAGCUUUUCAUCUGAGCUUUCAUAUGCAAGAGAGAGAUAUGUGGAGUGUACACAUGGGUGAAAUCACUGUAUUUUGAACUCGCUAUAUACACGUUGGCGGAUAAUCUUACUAAGAUGAUGGUUCUAUAUCAAUCUAGAUGACACAUUCGAUGCUUAUGGGACUCCUCAAGAACUUCAACGUUUCAUAGAUGCAUUAAAGAGAUGGGAGAUUUCUGC